UACGUAGGGUGCGAGCGUUAAUCGGAAUUACUGGGCGUAAAGCGUGCGCAGGCGGUUCGUUGUGUCGGUGGUGAAAGCCCCGGGCUUAACCUGGGAAUGGCCAUGGAAACUGGCGAACUGGAGUGUGGCAGAGGGGGGUGGAAUUCCGCGUGUAGCAGUGAAAUGCGUAGAGAUGCGGAGGAACACCGAUGGCCGAAGGCAGCCCCCUGGGCUAGCACUGACGCUCAGGCACGAAAGCGUGGGGAGCAAACAGG
rnacentral:rRNA from 1 species